UGAUCGGAACUUCUUGUAGUUUGUGAUCCUCAGUUGUUUAAUGAUGGCCAGUGUUUCUUCUGUGACUAUUUACAGAGCCGAUCCUGAGAGCACACUUAAUUCAUUGUAGGUGCUGAAACACACCGCGCUUGUCAAAAUCUGCUGCUGAAACAUUACAGGCGCAAGCAUUGGGUGUACCCUUGUGCCUGAACCCUGAUUCCGUCUGCACUUUCAAUAAACCAGACAACAGACACCCCAUUACAGACACAACAUGGCUCUAUGGAGACCCCCGUUUUUACCUCAGGGAACCAAAUCUCCAAGAUU